UCAGACAGAUCACCUAUAAAGAUGUAAAUCUACAUCAAACUAGUGCAUGUGUUCAACAUAUUCUGUUGAACAAACUAGUUUGACAGUUCGCAAGUUUACGAAGUUACAGCUUUGCCAAUAUCAGCCGUUUCGUCUCUUAAGAAAUUAUUUUUAAGCUACCAACAAUACUGAACUUAUUUUGAAAGAAAAGAAGUCUUAUUAGAUUUCUGUGGCAUAAUCUGGAGCAAGUUGUUUGAACAGAUACAAAUAUGCCUCCUGGAAGCCAACCGAGUUCACAGGUCAGCGCAGGAGCCAACCGCUUGGGCUACACCCCGAGAGGGGUCAAAUCCGGUACUUUCGCGGCUGGUCACAUGUCAUCCACCGCCAAGAGACACGGCGGGUCAGUUCCAAAGGGAGGUCUCGUCUCCCGGCUGCAGUCCCUCGGAACCAAGGGCAGCUACCGCAAGUAGGAGAGUGACUUGUCCGCCCAAGACGUGAUUCGACAUUGUUCAUGGAGGCUAUUAAACAAGAGUUGGAUCAUCUGCAAAUUCAUAUUCGAUCUGUAGCAAAUAGAAGUAGUCCAUAUAGAUCUUGUUUCUCGCUUGAUGUUCAUUCUAAAUGAUGCCAUUCAAUUAUGUCGUAACAGUCUGUAGAUAAACACUGUCACAGAAAGUAAUUAAUAAUUGUAAUUACUGAAUUCCGACCUUCAGUAACAUUAGUGCUACAUAUCUGUUAAAUUUCAUAUUAAAUUGAAUGAUGCACAGACGUAGCAAUAAAUUGAUGGGAAAAAAUCCAUAAAAAAAAACAUUUGAACUAUUUGCAAACGUUCCUUUAAUUGCCAUUUAUUCAUAGUUUCCACCCAUUUCGACGAAACAAAUCAUUCACCGUUAGAAGUUUGUUUUUAGUUUUAUAUUAGUGGCGAUGCAGGCGACUUGGGUAUUUUCAAUGUGAGUGUGCGAAUGCACCCGGCAAUAAAGCCUCGUGAUUCUUGUAUCUUCAUUGAUACCAUCUAAAUUUAUGUUGUAUGCAUGUCACGAACACCACAACUGUGCAUUAUUUGUACACAAUUCUUGGGUCCCGUAACACAAACGUUAGCAAUAAUUAAUCGUACGCUUGAUUUUCACGAUUGAUUUGUAGUCAAUGCAAUCAAUCGUAAAAAACUGCCCCUUACAUUGUAAUCAAAUAAAAUUAAAGGUGCAAUAGAAUAUUUCAUUAAACAUGUGCAAAGAACAUGAAGGAGGGAAAAUUCCAACGGCCAUUCUAUUCAUAGGAAAUAUAAACUCAGAAAGAUGUUGAUGGUAAAAUUAUUGAUUACGAUACUGAGAUUUUUACAAGGCUUGGACUCUAUACUGAACAAUCUAUUCAUUUGGUAAAAACAAAGCUCAAUAUUAUAUCAAAGCAAAGUAUCACCGAAGCCAGGAUCGAGAUUCUUUUGGAUUAUAAUUUGAUUCAAUAAGCUCUUUAAAAUUAUAAAUGAUUAUAACCUGAGGAGAGAGCAUAUAGAUCUUUUCAUUGAUAUGCUAAUUGUUUAAUUUUGUGAUUAAAAUGUUUGUUUUAUCAUAAUACUUUAGAAAUAACUAUUCGAAUAUGUUGUCUUGUAAUAUAUAUGGAAAACUUUUUUUUCAUUGUUUUAUUAUUAAGAUAUAUUUUCUUUUUAAGAGUCUUUAUUGAUCAUUCAUUUAAAAAACAUACAAUCUGAUAAAAUAUUACAAAAAAUAACAUAGCUGCAUUAUGUGUCUAGCACACAUAGCAAGGAUGAAACAUAACUAAACAUGACUUUGAUGUUCCUUUUCAAUAUUGAAAGCUUUAUGGCCUUCCCAAUGUCGCUUUGUCUAUGAUUUGUUGAAUAUAAUUAUGCAAAUAAACAGCCUCCUUAAAAAUAAA